AUUGAACGCUGGCGGCAAGCCUAACACAUUCAAGUCGAACGAUUGGCGGACGGGUGAGUAAUGUCUGGGAAACUGCCUGAUGGAGGGGGAUAACUACUGGACACGGUAGCUAAUACCGCAUACCAUCGGAUGUGCCCAGAUGGGAUUAGCUAGUAGGUGGGGUAAAGGCUCACCUAGGCGACGAUCCCUCGCUGGUCGGAGAGGAUGACCAGACACACUGGAACUGAGACACGGUCCAGACUCCUACUGGAGGCAGCAGUGGGGAAUAUUGCACAAUGGGUGCAAGCCUGAUGCAGCCAUGCCGCGUGUAUGAAGAAGGCCUUCGGGUUGUAAAGUACUUGCAGCGGGGAGGCGUUACCCGCAGAGGAAGCACCGGCUAACUCCGUGCCAGCAGCCGCGGUAAUUC
rnacentral:rRNA from 1 species